AUUGAACGCUGGCGGCAGGCCUAACACAUGCAAGUCGAGUGGAGCGGCGGACGGGUGAGUAAUGCCUAGGAAUCUGCCUGGUAGUGGGGGAUAACGUCCGGAAACGGGCGCUAAUACCGCAUACUAUCAGAUGAGCCUAGGUCGGCUUAGCUAGUGGGUGGGGUAAAGGCCUACAAAGGCGACGGUCCGUAAAUGGUCUGAGAGGAUGAUCAGUCACACUGGAACUGAGACACGGUCCAUAUUCCUACGGGAGGCAGCAGUGGGGAAUAUUGGACAAUGGGCGAAAGCCUGUUCCAACCUGGCCGCGUGUGUUAAGAAGGUCUUCGGAUUGGAAGGCACUUUAAGUUGGGAGGCGUUACCAACAGAAUAAGCACCGACUAACUUCGUGCCAGCAGCCGCGGUAAUAC
rnacentral:rRNA from 1 species